ensembl:lncRNA
UUACUUUUCUCGAAAUUUCGACUUAUUAACUCAAAACUUUACAUUUUUUUGUGUGGUGGAAACGGGCUUCCAUAUUUGUUUGUCUUGUGUAAAUCACUUUGUAAAAAUGCUUUGUAAAUCAUCUGUUUUCUACUUGAGCGCCCUCGUGUGGCAGUUUGUGGUAACAACAGAUUCCAGAUUUCCUGAGCACACGUUCCGUGAAGACACUUCCUUCAUGGACGACAGCCAUGUGAUGCAGUGUGCGGCAUAUGGUCUGAGCGCUGACAGGCUGACCCUCCACACCUUCAACCUCGGCAGUAAUGCUGGCAGCACUCAUACACCUAUCUUACAAAAGACAACCUCUGGGUAUGACACUGAGCAUGUGCACUCAACUUCUUUGGUCGACCAUGAUGAGGUUUAUCUUCAUAAAAGAAGUCUGGGGUGUCGACCAGUCUAACUUUUGUUCCACAUAUCUCGAUUAUUUUGUCCUUACACUUGGUGGUGAUUGGUAUGGAGCUUGGCUUGGCUUCAAAACCCUGGCCUUUGUCCUUGUGGUGCUUCCCAGCAGCCAGGAUGGUGUUUGCAGUCGCACUCUUCCCAGUCCCAGUUUGUCCCAGCAGAAUGAUGUUAAAUAUGAUGUCUUCCUUUGCAUCACUGCCCCUCUCAACUGAAAGUCCUUUUCCUCUUGGCCGGUCAGUCUGCUCUGAGAUGGAUGUACUGUGAUUCCUGGCUCCUGAUUGAUUGGUAUUUUAUCAUGAAAGCAAGUUUAUCUUGUCUAAACAUAUCACAUAUGAU